AUGCAAGUCGACGAGAAUCUGUGGAAAGAGGAUUCGUCCAAUUGAAGCAGAGGACAGUGGCGGACGGGUGAGUAACGCGUGAGGAACCUGCCUUUCAGAGGGGGACAACAGUUGGAAACGACUGCUAAUACCGCAUAACACAUAGGUGUCGCACGGCACUUAUGUCAAAGAUUUAUCGCUGAAAGAUGGCCUCGCGUCUGAUUAGCUAGUUGGUGAGGUAACGGCCCACCAAGGCGACGAUCAGUAGCCGGACUGAGAGGUUGAACGGCCACAUUGGGACUGAGAUACGGCCCAGACUCCUACGGGAGGCAGCAGUGGGGAAUAUUGGGCAAUGGGCGCAAGCCUGACCCAGCAACGCCGCGUGAAGGAAGAAGGCUUUCGGGUUGUAAACUUCUUUUGUCAGGGACGAGUAGAAGACGGUACCUGACGAAUAAGCCACGGCUAACUACGUGCCAGCAGCCGCGGUAAUACGUAGGUGGCAAGCGUUGUCCGGAUUUACUGGGUGUAAAGGGCGUGUAGCCGGGAGGGCAAGUCAGAUGUGAAAUCCACGGGCUCAACUCGUGAACUGCAUUUGAAACUACUCUUCUUGAGUAUCGGAGAGGCAAUCGGAAUUCCUAGUGUAGCGGUGAAAUGCGUAGAUAUUAGGAGGAACACCAGUGGCGAAGGCGGAUUGCUGGACGACAACUGACGGUGAGGCGCGAAAGCGUGGGGAGCAAA
rnacentral:rRNA from 1 species